rnacentral:rRNA from 1 species
AUACAUGCAAGUCGAGCGGACAGAUGGGAGCUUGCUCCCUGAUGUUAGCGGCGGACGGGUGAGUAACACGUGGGUAACCUGCCUGUAAGACUGGGAUAACUCCGGGAAACCGGGGCUAAUACCGGAUGCUUGAUUGAACCGCAUGGUUCAAUUAUAAAAGGUGGCUUUUAGCUACCACUUACAGAUGGACCCGCGGCGCAUUAGCUAGUUGGUGAGGUAACGGCUCACCAAGGCAACGAUGCGUAGCCGACCUGAGAGGGUGAUCGGCCACACUGGGACUGAGACACGGCCCAGACUCCUACGGGAGGCAGCAGUAGGGAAUCUUCCGCAAUGGACGAAAGUCUGACGGAGCAACGCCGCGUGAGUGAUGAAGGUUUUCGGAUCGUAAAACUCUGUUGUUAGGGAAGAACAAGUACCGUUCGAAUAGGGCGGUACCUUGACGGUACCUAACCAGAAAGCCACGGCUAACUACGUGCCAGCAGCCGCGGUAAUACGUAGGUGGCAAGCGUUGUCCGGAAUUAUUGGGCGUAAAGCGCGCGCAGGCGGUUUCUUAAGUCUGAUGUGAAAGCCCCCGGCUCAACCGGGGAGGGUCAUUGGAAACUGGGGAACUUGAGUGCAGAAAAGGAGAGUGGAAUUCCACGUGUAGCGGUGAAAUGCGUAAAAAUGUGGAGGAACACCAUUGGCAAAGGCGACUCU